UCCCCAUUCAGUGAUCUGGACUGAACGCAGAGGAGUCCCCAUGGAGUCUGUGCUGGGCUGGAUUUUCCUUGUUGCUGUUUUAAAAGGUGUCCAGUGUGAGGUGCAGCUGGUGGCGUCCGGGGGAGGCCUGAGGCAGCCUGGGGGGUCCCUGAGACUCUCCUGUGCAGCCUCUGGAUUCACCUUCAGCAAUUAUAACAUGAAUUGGAUCCGCCAGGCUCCAGGGAAGGGCCUGCAGUGGGUCGCGUACAUUAGUACUGGUGGUAGUACCAAGUACUACACAGACUCCGUGAAGGGCCGAUUCACCAUCUCCAGAGACAAUGCCAAGAACACAGUGUAUCUACAAAUGGACAGUCUGAAAGUCGAGGACACGGCCGUGUAUUACUGUGCGAGAGACACAGUGAGGGGAAGUGAGUGGGAGCCUAGACACAAACCUCCCUCGCAGGGCUGGGGCCGGGCAACAGGGGGCGGACUGGAACCAGGGAGCUCAUGA